UACGGAGGGUGCGAACGUUAAUCGGAAUCACUGGGCGUAAAGCGCGCGUAGGCGGUUUGUUAAGUGGGAUGUGAAAUCCCCGGGCUUAACCUGGGAAUUGCAUUUCAAACUGGCCGACUAGAGUACGGUAGAGGGAGGUAGAAUUUCCUGUGUAGCGGUGAAAUGCGCAGAUAUCGGGAGGAACACCGGUGGCGAAGGCGGUUCUCUGGGCCUGUACUGACGCUGAGGAGCGAAAGCGUGGGGAGCGAACAGG
rnacentral:rRNA from 1 species